GCUGCAUUAGAGGGUGAUGAAGAAUCUGUACGACUGCGAAACACACAUCCUACAGACCUCCAUCCUUUAAAACAAUGUUGUUUACCGUAGCCUCAAACAGGCCUGAACCUAACAAACAGGCCUGAACCUAACAAACAGGCCUGAACUCAACCAACAGGCCUGAACUCAACAAACAGGCCUGAACUCAACAAACAGGCCUGAACUCAACAAACAGGUCUGAACUCAACAAACAGGCCGGAACUUAAAAAACAGGCCUGACCUUAAUAAAACAGGCCUGACCUUAACAAACAGGCCUGCCAACAAUGCUAACAGGCUAACUGACUCAAAAAUAAACACGCUAACAAGCCAACAGGCUCACAUGCCAAUGGGCUAACAUGCUUAAAAGCAGACAGGCUAACAAGCUAACAGGCUUGUGGCGUUCUAUCAGUGCAGCGGACCUGAGUGUUGUCAUGGAAACAUCUGGUCGAUGGUUGCAUUUGACCGUUGUUCAUUUUGGAUUUGUAUAGCAUGGACUGUUAACAUGCAGAUGUGUAUCGUCAUUGAUAAAUAAUGCACACACACAAACACACUCACACACACACUCACACACACACACAACACAAACCCACACACGCUAAAACCCAUAUCAGAACAGGGUAUCAGAAAAGGUAAAACCCAUAUCAGAACAAGGUAACACAAACCCACACAAGCUAAAACCCAUAUCAGAACAGGGUAGCGCACACACACACACACACACACACACACACACACACACACACACACACACACACACACACACACACACACACACACACACACACACACACACACACACACACACACACACACACACACACACACAAAGUUAACUGACCAGUCGGAUCAGGGUAUUCAAGUACAUUGUGUUAUAAAUGGUUAAUGUGUUUUGUGGAGCUCUGCUACUGGUCUAGAGCGCUCGCUCUGCGACAGGUGCAGAGCGAGCUGGCGCUCUCCGUGGGAGCGGUUCAGGAGCAGGGUGUCAUCCCAAUACACACACGGGUCAGGGUCUGCAGCUGGGUCACGGGUUAAUGACAAACCAAGAACACAAGGAAGUAGAGACCCCCCACACACACACACACACACACCAGGGUGAAACCCAUAUCAGGACAAAGUAACACAAACACACACAAGGUAAAACCCAUAUCAGAACAAGGUAACACAAACACACACAACCCAUAUCAGAACAAGGUAACACAAACCCACACAAGGUAAAACCCAUAUCAGAACAGGUUAACACACACACACACACACACACACACACUAUCAGAAAAGGUAAAACCCACAUCAGAACAGGGUACCCCACACACACUAAGAGACUAAACACACGGCGCUACUCAGACCGUGCACGCCCCUUCUGCUGGUCAGGACGUCUGCGUGGGCCCAGACGUGCGGCCCUCCCAGAUGUCAGCAGCGGGUCACCCUAGCAACUCGUGCACGCGCUCCGUUUGGUUUUGUUUCAGCCAGAUACCAGAAUAAAGUGAAAGCACCCGGCCGGCUCAGAGCCCUGAGCCACCGCCGGUUGGGAAACACCGACGGCUCCCGGUGGGGGGGGAGGCCCCGUGGUCAGACACCCCGGCCCUCCGUCAGGUUCUUCCCGACAGGAAGCCGAAGGAGCAGAACUUCCAGGUCAGCACUUCCUAUCUCCUUACACAGCGCUUCCUGUUUAGGGGCGGGGUCAGAGACGGCCUCCUUUAACCCUCAGACACUCAGGGUGGUGUUGGUGGGUUACCAGAGAGACUGGGGAGGGGAGAGGUGGGGGCAUGCAGGUAAACAACACACACACACACACACACACACACACACACACACACACACACACACACACACACACACACACACACACAGACACACACACACACACACACACACACAACACACACACACCUGCCUGUGGUGCAAUAAGAACCAACCAGAGACGAUUCUAAUCACGGGAAAGAACGACUGCAGCCAACACCUUGCCGUGUAUAAAAGUGUAGCAUGAUGUUCAACCUAUUCAACCUUAGCAGGUAGCCCUGGCAUAUAUCCAUAGCAUGUAGCCCUAGCCUACAACCUUAGCACGUAGCCCUGGCAUGGAACCAUAGCAUGUAGCCCUAGCAUAAAACCGUAGAAGGUAGCCCUUGCAUUCAACAUUAGCACGUUGUCCUAUCACACAACCUUGCAACCCUAUCGCACAACCGUAGCAUGAAGCUACACUUGUAGGUAGAAGACUAUGGGCUGAGGCUAGCACCGCGGGCGUGUUGGGACACAGCGCUACGUUCCACCGGAGGCUAGCUCUGACAGAGAGAAUUCCUUAGUGAGAGCUUAGCCCACCUCAGUGCAUCCCCUCCGGAGCCCUGGGGCAACAUCCACUAAUAUCAGAGCCGUUAAUCAUCCCAGAAGGGGGUUCUGGUUGCCAAAGCAGAAAGUACAGCAGGACAGUAAGAUUAUAGAAUUAUAGGAAAAUUAACAUAUGACGACGAGAUCUAUUUUUAAGUAUUGGUCUUCAUUAAGCUGUGACUGACAGCAGUAAUUAAGGCGCAGGUAGGUGCUCUGAUUCAGAGUGGCCCAGGGACCAGGAGAGGACAGUAUAGCGCCCACCCAAGCACCGCGGUAGACUUGGGCGCCAAACCCAAAACCUUACAGAUGGGGUCCGACACCCGAAACCACUACACCAACCAGCCCCCACCUUAACUGCCACCCUCGAUGUAAGAGGAGAACCAGGAGGGAAACGAGGAUUUAAAACCGGAUGAGCAUGCUGUUUCAAAAGUUUGUUUAAAAGAUGUUUGGACGCGUACUUUCUGCAUCCCCCUAGUGUUGAGAGACCGAUUCAUACUGCUUUAGUCCUUAACUCCUCGUCAUGACUGUCCCCACUGAAGCACCAUCGUGUUUAGAAGACACCCUGCAUGCCUGGCUGCACACAGACGUAGGAACUACAGAAGUGGAGUAGAUUGGAUCUAUAACCCGUUUCACAGCAUAGCAAGGAAGCUGAAUAACAGGCUAGUCACUCUAAAAACACUCAGGGAGCUGGGGGGAGACACCGGGCUGGGAGAUUGCCGAGCCCAACGGGUUAUACUCCUCCAUGCUUCCACACAGGACACACGCACAGAGAUGAACCCCCGUCAGCAGCAGCAGCAACAUACUGUGCUGCUCCUCAUUUUACAGCAUCACUCAUCACAGGCGCACGACCCUGGCUGGGAGACACACAGGCAGGUCAACCCGGCUGUAGGGAAGGGCAGGCCCUGCGUCUGGCUCCCAGCCCUGACUGUAAAGCCCGGGCUGAACGGACCGAGGGGGAGACUAGGCCCUGAGGCAAGGGGGCAUAACAGGUCCCGGUCUCUGGGUCGGGAGGGGGGGGAGACGGGAUGGAAGGGGGAUGUGAUGAUUCGGAGGGAGGGGGAAAGCUACAUCACACACGUUAGAAUCCAAGCACAGGCUGACCGCGCACCAAGGCUCGUGACACAGUUUAAAUGAGCGUGCGUGCGCGCCGGCGCACUCGAGUGUCACACUUUACGGUGGCCCUACGAGGAGACAACCAGUGUGAACCAGGAACAAUGUGGUCACCGUUCACACCACAAUCUGACGCGGUUCCGAGCACCUCGGAAAUGUUGAAGCUCUGUAGGCAGAGGAGACAAACAUUGAGUCCGCGGCCACGUCAACAGAGACUAAACACGCCAUGGCUGUGAGUGACAGCCAGGCAACUUAACACAACAACUACCGUUGUUUUUAUAGUGUAUGUGCGACACAUUGAGGCACAGGAGUGACUUGUCCCAGGUUCUGCUGUCCUGUAAAUACGCUCCCAUGCAGACGACGUGCUGCUCUUUCUACUCAACAGUCAACACUCAGCUGAG
ensembl:lncRNA